UACGGAGGGAGCUAGCGUUGUUCGGAAUUACUGGGCGUAAAGCGCGCGUAGGCGGCUUUGUAAGUUAGAGGUGAAAGCCCGGGGCUCAACCCCGGAACUGCCUUUAAGACUGCAUCGCUUGAAUCCGGGAGAGGUGAGUGGAAUUCCGAGUGUAGAGGUGAAAUUCGUAGAUAUUCGGAAGAACACCAGUGGCGAAGGCGGCUCACUGGACCGGUAUUGACACUGAUGUGCGAAAGCGUGGGGAGCAAACAGG
rnacentral:rRNA from 1 species